rfam:Arabidopsis thaliana chromosome 1, complete sequence.
AUCUUUGCGCUUGGGGCAAUGACAUAGCUAAUGAGGUUUUAAACGAGACGCGUCUAUUGAUGGUUGACAACCAUUUCCACAACCCCAUCCUAGGCCUAAGCUUGUCUUUGGCCUUUGAGAAUUUCGAGACCAACACUAGAGUA